rnacentral:lncRNA from 1 species
GUUAGGCGCGCCAGUCUUCCGAAUUGACUGAGACGCCCACAGAUACCUGUGCUCCCUGAUCAAUAAAAAUCCUCUUACUGAUUACAGCCUGUGGACUUGGUCUGGUCAUUGGGCUUGAGGAUCUCCCUCCUGAGGGAAGAUUCUCUCUGAGAGUCUUACAUAUGGGGGCUCGUCUGGGAUCGGAGAUCCUCUGCCCAGAGACCGCCGACCACCCACCGGGAGGUAAGCUGGCCAGUGUUUGUCUUGUCCUGUCUUGUCUUGCUUUGUGACUUGUUCUGUAAAUGCUUAGUUACUUGGCUUGGGUCUAGACCGUUUGUAUUUGGGCAGGCCAGAGAAGGAGCUGACGAGCUCGGACUUCUCCCCCGAAGCCCUGGAAGACGUUCCAAGGGUGUUUGGAGCCCGGUUUUUCGGGGCUCAGCCUGUAUCGGAAGGAUACGUGGUUUUGGGUUGGAGGAGAGAGGAGAGAGCCGGAUCCACUGAAGGAUCCGGACCCUUGUCGCCUCUGUCUGAAUUUUUGGUUUCAGUUUGACACCAAAGCCGCGCGGUGCGUCUGUCUGUCUGACUGUUGGAAUUGUUUGUCUUCUUUGUGUCCUAAUUUUCUUUGAACAUCUGUGGAAAUUGGUUAUAGGAUUCUUUGUCUUGGUCUUGUUUGUCUGGGUUGUUUUCUGUGGUAUUGUCCAGUGUCUUUUUGACUUUUGUUUCGUUUUUGGACUUUGGAUAGAAGACUGUGUUUAAAAACUUGGACUGACGACUGUGUUUAAAAUCAUGAAACUGUUUGCUUUGUUUGUCAAGGAGUUUUACUUGGUCCUCUUGGUGCUUAACUUGGAAAUAAUUUGCUUGAGAAAAAUUGUUUUCUGCCGGGGAGUUUUAUCUUUCUCUCUUAAGCCUCCUCCCCAAGGAGAGAUGCCCCUCCCUUUGCUCCCCUUGUCCAGUCUAGCUGCUGUUAACAGUUGUGUAUGAAGAACUCCAGGUUAGUGAGUGACCCUGUCUGAAGCAGGUAUUAACAAGAGCCUGAAAGCUUUACCUUAGAUCCUGAAGAAAAAUUCUCCCUGUUGCUUAAACAUUCACAGCUUCUAAGGAAGGGACAGCACAGAGUAGAAAAAUAUAGGGGCUGAGGGUGACAAGCAUGCAGGCCUGCUAGCAAGCUGCAGGCUGCGCGUGGGCAGUGGCGCAGCUCAGGCCAAGUCAGCGUAAGAGGAGUUUCAAGGUGAUGAGGCCGGCCGGGGUUGACGCUUUGACAACAAAAAGAUAAUAUAGAGUUAGUGGUUGUUUUAUGAGACUUUUGGCCCUGAAAAAAAAAAUAAUUCCAGUUGCUGCCUUCAGUGGCCAGAUCUUCAACACUUGCUCACAGAAGGAGAGCGUUCAUUAAGAGAAGUUCUUUAAGGAAGCCUGCCUUAUCUGCUGGCCCUAUUCCAAGAGAGGAGUUGAUCUCCAACAUUAAAUAACCUUCCCUGUUAGUCAUCAUUGACAUGGAGAGUGCCUUUGAUCCUAUCCCUUCAGCAGCCAGUUCCUACCCCUGUGGUCAAAAUGCCCCAGGUUGGGGGGCAGAGAAGCCCCUGAGAUAGUUUCGUAGGGAAUCUGCAACAAACUGUGAAGAACUUUGUUUUGCCAGUCAAAAUUUAGAAUUCAGGCUUUGGCUGUGGCCAAGGUCAGGAUUAAUGUUUUCUUUUCCAUGGGCCUUUAGCCCACUGAGACAGUUUGGUAAAGGGCUGCUACUGAGGUCCUGAAAGUCCCAGGUGAACUGGUUACAAUUCUUUUGUCAGCCACUUGGCAUCUAGCACCCAGGUCCUAACCAUCUCUCCAUUCUUUUGUUAUUAGUUCUUAAGUCCAGAGAGAUAGUCGGUAACAGAUCAGCUCCCUCUCUGCUUGCCGUUCUGUUUCACAGACACAAAGCUUGUGCUUAUUUUUACAAUGGCCUUUUUGUCCCAAAAAGUCCUCCUGGUUUAGCUGUGUGACUAAAUGCUAUUUGUCCUCUUCAGUGGACCUCUAUUCUCUAGAUUCUCUUCUUGUUUUCUCACCAUCCCAUUUGAGAUGCUUGUUAGUAACUGUUACAGGUUUUCUUUACCACUGAGGAAAGACGGAAUCCUACUGGAGGCCAGAAAGAAUGUUCCAGACAUGGAUGGAAGACCCUCACUCCUGACUGUUGACUUGAAUACGCCUAAAGGUAGGAAGUGCUCCAGGUCUGCCGCCAGACUCCAAGGGUGGGUCUCCGAGGGGCUGGAAAAUGCCCCACCAAUCUGGCUAAGGAAAAGAUAUAAAGAGAAAAAGUUACAGAAAUUUAAAGGGUUAAGCUAAGUUGCUGAGAGUUAGUGUAAGUUGCAGAGAAAAUAAAGUUAAAGUGUGGUUAAGUGGACAGCAUCUAAUAGCUGUAGAGGAAGAUACAGAAGAUAUGAGAGAGACUAAAGAAGAGAAAGAGAAAAGAAGGUAAAAAGAGCAGGAAGCUAAGGAAGAAAAGAAGAAGCUAGAGAGCUAAAGAGGGAUAAAAGAUAGGAGAGGAAUAUAUACUGGCCACAGUAGUUAGGGAACCUAGGAAGACAGUACCUGGCAACAGAAGAGAAUUCCUAGCUAAAGAUCAGUGUGCCUAUCGCAAGGAAAAAGGACACUGGGUCAGGGACUGCCCCAGAAAGAACAAGAGGGGCCUCUCCAGCAGCCUGGAAGGCAAGCCUCUUGGUACUAGAGUGCUGGCUAUAUACAGAGAUAGAAGGGAAGUGUGGAUACAGGGACCCAAUGCUCUGCGCUCCUAUUCCCCCCUAGUGGGGCCAAUAUCCAAAGACCUUGAGUGCAAGGGGCUACUGGCAACGAACAAAACUCAUGGACUACCCGAAGAACAGUGGACCUUGGCAUGGGCCGGGUAUCCCACUUGUUCCUUGUGAUUCCAGACUACCCCUACGAGUCUAAACCCUACAACCCUGCUCCUGGACCCCGACCUAGACACCCCCCUUCAUGACUGUCAGCAGGAGCUCACUAAAGAGUGGCAUAAAGAUCAGACUCAUCAGCCAGCAGAGGGGGUAGAUGUCAUCUGGUUCAUAGAAAAAGAUGGGCUGGGACAGCAGUGGUAGAUAGAAACAGUCAUUUGGGCUCAGGCCCUACCAGAAGACACCACUACUCGGGGGGUAGAGCUCGCUCCCCUCACCAAAGCCCUUGAGCUGAGAAAGAGACUUAACAUUUAUGUGGACAGCAGGUAUGCCUUUGCUACAGCCCAUCAGCAGAGGGGCCUGCUGACAUCUGAGGGCAAGAAAAAAAAAGAGAUUCUGGCUCUGUUAAGGGCCCUCCAUGACCCAGCCAGGCCGAGGAAGAGACUCUGGUACACCUCAACGAGAAAGAAGAUCCUGCUACAAAAAUAGGCAGAGGCCAUGGUAAAACAAAUGCAUCAAUGGACUCACUUAGGGGUAAGCAAACUCAUCCAGAUGUUUUCAAAAACUAAAUAUUAUAUCACAGGUCUCAAGUAUCUCGUGGAACAGAUUCACUGAUGUAUACCAUGCCAAAAGAUAACUGUUUUCAGGAAAGUUGACUGUGGUAGGAGGCUCCGUGGGGAACAACCUGGAUCCUACUGAGAAGUGGACUUCACAGAGAUAAAACCAGGAAAAUAUGGUUAUAAAUGUCUCCUAGUGUUUAUAGAUGUCUUUUCAGGAAUAGGUAGAAGCUUUCCCCACCAAGCAAGAGACGGCCUCAAUAGUCAUCAAGAAGAUACUAGAAGAAAUCUUCUCCCUGUUUGGAGUGCCCAAGUUCCAGGUCGGAGACUACAGCUACACUGAGCCCAGACACUCGAGCCUCGCUGGAAAGGACCAUACCUGGUGCUGCUGACCACCCUGACAGCCGUCAAUUCUCAGCCCUCACCAACAGCGUACUAGCUGUUGGGGCUGAGAGCUGGGACCUAGAGGGACACUCAGAUCUUCAAAAAGCUCCCUAGACUUAAGUGACUGGGAGGUUGCUAUAAUGCUUACUUGAGGAGUGUGUUUUAAAAACAAGAAUUUCAUGUUUGCCUGUUUGCCCUGGGUUCCCUUGGAAUAGGUGUAAGGAUAGGCUUGAUUUUUAUUGCAAAUGAUGUAACAUUACAUAUGUUAGUACUCCUAACACUUCUUGGGACUGUGCCUCAGGGAUCACAACCUAUAUAAGUUUAGAAGUUCUAAAAGACCUUGGUGUAUAGGUUCAGAUAGUGUCCAGACUGGAAUCCUGAUGCUAAAGACUUAAUAAGACACAAAAGAGAGUUAAAAAUUAUUUAAGGCUAUCUAGGUGCUACAAGGACAGCACAAGGACAUCUGCUGUUGCCCUACAAUACAAGGCUUAUAGAGAAUUCAGAACUGCCAUUGACUCAGAUAUAAAAAAUAAAUAAAAAAGACUUUUUAGCUGACCUCCAAGAACACCUAACCUCCCUCUCAGAGAUAGUCCUUCAAAAUAGGAAAAGAUUAGACCUGAUAUUCCUUAAAGAAGGAGUCUGUGUGCUACACUAAAAGAAAAAUGUUGUUUCUAUACAGAUCAGACAGAAAUAAUAAGAGAUAUAGUCUUUCAGUCAUUCAAACUUUUAUGCUGAGACAACAGUAUCAGAUGGUACAAAAAAAAAAACAAAAAAACAGAGGUACCUUAAUCAAGUUGAGUGGAAGAUUCCACUCAAAGACAAAAAGAACAUGGGGGAAUGAAAGACCCCCUCCAAGAAAGGGAAUUGUACAAGCCCAAGGCCCUCAACUAUAGAAGUAAAAAGUAAGUUUUUAGAUACACAGACUCAAAACUAAAAUAAGCCUGGGAAAGUUCAGAUGUGUCCAAGCUUUGUGAGACAAGCUGACCCAUCAUUUAGACGAAACAGACCAUAAAAGAAAACAAAAUGCAGAAACCAGACUAAAAUAUGGGCAUUGCUCCAUGGGCCACCUGGCAGGGAAAAAGAAACAGUCCCUGACCCCCCGGGAGACCCGACCACCAUGUACUUUUUGCUAACUCACUGUUAUGAUUAUAGCCAAAAUAGGUAACAUACACGUAUGCCUCAUUUACUCCACCAAUCACAUCCCUGUAACCAUGCAUCUGCUUCUGUAAGCCUGCUUCUGCCCUCCAAUACACUAUAAAAACCCGUCCCUGGUUCUGCUAGGCGCACCAGUCUUCCGAAUUGACUGAGACGCCCACAGAUACCUGUGCUCCCUGAUCAAUAAAAAUCCUCUUACUGAUUACAGCCUGUGGACUCGGACUGGUCAUUGGGCUUGAGGAUCUCCCUCCUGAGGGAAGAUUCUCUCUGAGAGUCUUACACUAUUAUUAAGUAUCCCCUACACAUUCUUAAAUGGCUGCAAUUAAAUUAAGAAAAAAUACCAAUCGGAAAUGAAAAGUUAUAAUUUUUUUUAAAAACUAACACAAUUUAUGUGUAUUAAAAUCCAAAGACUCUUUAAACUAACCUAAUAGCAAAUAGAGAACCAAGGCUACUGAAUACAUAAUAAACAUACUAAGUUAAUUGCAUCUACAGAAUACUGAUGAAAGAAAUUAAAGAUCAAAAUUAAUGUAGAUGCUUAUUUGCAAAAAAAUAAGAAAGAUACAUAAUGCGAAGAUGACAGUUCUUCGAAAGUUCUUCUAUAGAAUCAAUGGGACUCUAUUAAAAACAAUUAGGAGUCUUUCUUUUUAGCUUCAGACAAUUUGAUUCUAAAAUACACAUGAAAAUUUCAAGGAAAUAUAAUGGAUAAACUACAUGAAAAGAAUGAAGUUGGUGAACUCCUGUGAUUUUAAGGCUCAAUAUAAGCUUACAGCAAUAGAGACAAUGGGGUAUUUGUGAAAGAAUAUACAUAUAAAUUAGUGGAACAGAAGAGAUACCAACAAUAGAUGUAUAAAAAUACAAUAAACUUCUCUUGGACACAUAGACAAAAGAAUUUUAAUCAAGAAAGGAAAUAUUCUCCAGCAAAUGUCAUUGGAAAAAAUACUGCAGUGUAUAAAUGCUGUCAUGGCUCCAGCUGCAUAUGUAGUAGAGGAUGGCCUUGUUGGGCACCAAUGGGAGGAGAAGCCCUUUGUCCUGCCAAGGCUGGACCUCCAGUGUAGGGGAAUGUCAGG